AGGUAUGCCCACUUUGUAUCGGCCUGUCGUUAAUCACCUCUGUAAUUAGCGGCAUAAUUAUUCCUAGGAUUUGACAGCCCUUGACCUUCUUCUUCCACUAGUGAGGCACCCAACAAAUGGCUCUGACAUGUUUCUGGAACUUCUUUCCGGGUAUUUCUCUGGCACUGAUAUUGCUGAUCGUCGUGAACGUCGACUGCCAAACAACGGUGGGUAUUAUGUCCAUUAAGAACAACCUGCCUUACCGCACCAGAAUCCAGUGUACUUCAAACGAGGAGACGCUGCCCUUCCACGAUUCAGAUCCAGGAGACGUAUUCCAAUUCAACUUCGACUGUGAGAGGCAGCUUUCUUGGACAUGCAGUUUCGAGUGGGAGGACAAGGACGGCACGUUUGUGAUGUGGGAGAGGCCUGACCACUCGGGAUUGUGUGACCGUGUCUGCCCCUGGAAAGUGGGCGAAGAUGGUCUCUCUUUGCUUAGAUCUGGUGGAAACACAGUUCUCAUUUACUUCUGGCGUUGAACCUUGCACGAUGCUUGCGUCUGAGACAUGUGGGUUGACUUCAUACAGCCAAGCUUCCGUCCGCUUGCUUCCUCCCAUUGGAUUGUGUUUUGCUGGGAUAUCAAGCUUUCUGUUAUCGUUGUUUUUUGUUUGGUUUCUGUUAUUGUUUGUUUUGUACCGUUUUUUUUCGACGUUGCCGAGUUUCUCAUCGCCGGUUCACAACAUCCAUAACUUCCAGUGGCUCACAUAUGUUUUCUUUUUUGGCUACGAAGUAGAGCUCCAUGUGGAUUUUGAUCUUAUAACAGAGCUGAUUCUGAAACCCACUUCGAAGGAGACUUAGAACACCAGAUUGUAGACUGCCAAGUUGGACUCUGACAUUGAAGAUUUUGAUUGAUCACUGUAGCAGGGUCUUGUUGAAUACCGUGUUUGAAUGCCGGCAGAUCCAGUUAGUGCACCGGAGCAGGCAAAAUCAUCCUGCUCAAAUGCUUGAUCUCAUCAGAAGAAAAGUGAAUGAAUAAAAUUGUGGAGCCUUGUUAAUAUUAUAGAGAAAUGUGCCAUUGAUAUGUUAGAGGAGUUUAAUGAUACGAGACCCAUGUGAGCUUUCCACCCAUCCAUUCAAAUGAAGGCAUUACACAACUCCAGAAUUAGUUUUUAGUUCAUGAUAUAGAAAUCCUUCUUUAACUGAGGAUAAAAUUUUGAUA